rnacentral:rRNA from 1 species
GACGAACGCUGGCGGCGUGCCUAAUACAUGCAAGUAGAACGCACAGUUUAUACCGUAGCUUGCUACACCAUAGACUGUGAGUUGCGAACGGGUGAGUAACGCGUAGGUAACCUGCCUGGUAGCGGGGGAUAACUAUUGGAAACGAUAGCUAAUACCGCAUAAUAUUGAUUAUUGCAUGAUAAUUGAUUGAAAGAUGCUAUUGCAUCACUACCAGAUGGACCUGCGUUGUAUUAGCUAGUAGGUGAGGUAACGGCUCACCUAGGCGACGAUACAUAGCCGACCUGAGAGGGUGAUCGGCCACACUGGGACUGAGACACGGCCCAGACUCCUACGGGAGGCAGCAGUAGGGAAUCUUCGGCAAUGGACGAAAGUCUGACCGAGCAACGCCGCGGGAGUGAAGAAGGUUUUCGGACCGUAAAGCUCUGUUGUAAGAGAAGAACGGGUGUGAGAGUGGAAAGUUCACACUGUGACGGUAUCUUACCAGAAAGGGACGGCUAACUACGUG